UUGGAGGGCAAGUCUGGUGCCAGCAGCCGCGGUAAUUCCAGCUCCAAUAGCGUAUAUUAAAGUUGUUGCAGUUAAAAAGCUCGUAGUUGAAUUUCGGGAUUAGUACGUUGGUCGUGCCUUCGGUACGUACUGGUGUUACUGAUUCCUACCUUCUGACGAACCAUCAUGUCAUUAAUUUGGUGUUGCGGGAAAUUUGGACUGUUACUUUGAAAAAAUUAGAGUGUUUAAAGCAGGCUCGCGCUUGAAUACAUUAGCAUGGAAUAAUGAAAUAGGACGUUGACCCUAUUUUGUUGGUUUCUAAGAUUGACGUAAUGAUUAAUAGGGAUAGUUGGGGGCAUUAGUAUUCAAUUGUCAGAGGUGAAAUUCUUGGAUUUAUUGAAGACUAACUACUGCGAAAGCAUUUGCCAAGGAUGUUUUCAUUAAUCAAGAACGAAAGUUAGGGGAUCGAAGACGAUCAGAUACCGUCGUAGUCUUAACCAUAAACUAUGCCGACUAGGGAUCGGAUGAUGUUAUUUUUAACGACUCAUUCGGCGCCUUACGGGAAAC
rnacentral:rRNA from 1 species